rnacentral:rRNA from 1 species
GACGAACGCUGGCGGCGUGCUUAACACAUGCAAGUCGAACGGAAAGGCCCUGCUUUUGUGGGGUGCUCGAGUGGCGAACGGGUGAGUAACACGUGAGUAGCCUGCCCUUGACUUUGGGAUAACUUCAGGAAACUGGGGCUAAUACCGGAUAGGAGCUCCUGCUGCAGGGUGGGGGUUGGAAAGUUUCGGCGGUUGGGGAUGGACUCGCGGCUUAUCAGCUUGUUGGUGGGGUAGUGUCUUACCAAGGCUUUGACGGGUAGCCGGCCUGGGAGGGGGGCCGGCCACAUUAGGACUGAGAUACGGCACAGACUCCUACGGGAGGCAGAGGUGGGGAAUAGUGCACAAUGGGCGGAAGCCUGAUGCAGCAACGCCGCGUGCGGGAUGACGGCCUUCGGGUUGUAAACCGCUUUCGCCUGUGACGAAGCGUGAGUGACGGUAAUGGGUAAAGAAGCACCGGCUAACUACGUG